UACAGAGGUCCCAAGCGUUACUGAGAAUCACUGGGUUUAAAGGGUGCGUAGGUGGUCCGUUAAGUCAGUUGUGAAAUCCCCGGGCUCAACCCGGGAACUGCUUCUGAUACUGGCGGACUUGAGGCCAGUAGGGGUCACUAGAACUGACGGUGGAGCGGUGAAUUGCGUAGAUAUCGUCAGGAAUGCCGGUGGUGAAGACGGGUGACUGGGCUGGUUCUGACACUGAGGCACGAAAGCGUGGGGAGCGAACGGG
rnacentral:rRNA from 1 species